GUGGGACUCAUCGCGACGAGGGCCGCCGCCGCGCUCGUGUGCGUCGUAAAGUGAAGGUCGAAUAUUUUGUCCCUACUCCUCAAUCUAUUGGUGUUCACGAGUCGGCGCUGUGAUAAUGAGGUGUCGUGGUCCCGCUCGCUCCGGUGCGGUGCGGCGCGGCCCGAAAGGGACGGCCGGCGGUGUGCGCGUGCGUCGGAGCCUCCGCCGGCGCCGGCGCGGCCUGCCCUCAUCAGUCUCCCCGCGGCGGGGAAGCGGUUCGCGUGUGCAACUCCGUGUCGACUCGGGCUGCGGGCCGCGACGGCACUCCGUCGCGCACGGAAUAUUUUUAGAUAACAGCGCGAAUAAUUUAUUCGCAAGGUGGUGAUCGCGCGCACUUUUGCGGAUAUCGGUAUCGGCGCAUGCGGGCUCGCGCACUGUGCCGCACCUUUACCGGAGACGUCCCGAUAGGUAAGCUGCGCACUUCCUGCGCGCAAGCGGCCAUGUUCGAUGGGAACGUCACUUCCGCCAGGGCCGGAACCGGCACGGACAGCGGGCCCGAGCUGAGGGCCCUGCGGCGCUGGUGGUGCGCGCGCGCUCCCUCCGCCGAGGUUCAAUGGGCGACGGCUCUCGAUUCAUAAAAUGUCGGUCGUUCCAUUCACGCCGAGCCGCGGUGCUAUGCCGACCGUUCACUCGUGACCCUCGCGUCUUCGAAUAUUCAUGUCUCCUUCGAUAACAUCGUAACCUCUGACUUCUUUUAUAUUAUCACAUUGUUUAGUGAGCCGCUAGUUGAGGCCGGAUUCGUGCGAUGUGCGGGAAACAAGUGUCCGUCCAAACGCUAUGCGAUAAUUUAACGGUGUAACAUCAGUGCAAACUUAGUGAUUUUAGUGAUUGCCUUCUGUUUCAAUGGAGUGUCACUUGCUGUGGCGUUGUUUGGGGCCGAGCAAUCUGUAACAUAAUCGCCUGGUACAUCAACGGAGUCGAUAGCCGCUUAACCCAAACUCGUAAUCAUCAUCACCUAGAUGCUGUGUGAAGGAAAGGUGUGAGUCAGCAUUACGUCAUAUGGUAUGGCGAUGAUGCGUCUAAUGGGAGCGUCCCGGCGUUCCGCGUGCCCCUUCCAGGCACUUACUUCACUCAAUAGAGCGAUGACAGUACCAUUCAUGGUUAACCACGAAAUUCUUGCGAUUCCAUUGUAAUUAACACACGCAUUCAUGAGGCGCUUCGUUGUUUCGCUACCAUUAUAUGAUUUUAUUUAGUGUUUGUAUCGGCUAUCGUAUUUAUUGUGUUUAAUUUUUUUGAGUCUAAUUUAUAAAUAAACGUAGGUUUAAUUGAAGAAAAACGCAAGAUAACCGAGCAAGAUCGAAAAUACGGACACCAUAAAAGGAACUACGAAA